GCCCGGCUGGCGUAAUCGGAUAACGCACCAGACUUCUAAUCUGGGGAUUGCGGGUUCGAGUCCCGCGUCGGGUA
rnacentral:tRNA from 1 species